UUUUUUCCAGUUUUGUUUUUCACAUUAAAUUCAUAUUUAGUUGCUUAUUUUCUCCUGCUUUUGCUACUUUGCAUUGUAGUUGUGGUAUUGCUGAAAUUUGGGAAAUGGCAUGAACCAGAUGAAGGAAAAGGAAAUGUUUCUUGUGAAUGCAUGUUAAUUGUUUGAAAAAAUACCAAAAAGAAUUUUAGGGGCUGUUUUGCUUUAUUUUGUCCAUUUUAUGUUGUUUUCUUGUCAAAAUAAAAUCAUAUUUGUAUUGUAGGAGAUGUAAGAGUGUUGUGGUAUAAUUUUUAUGAGUUUUGGUGAAGGAUAUGUUGUUUUGAAAAAUCAAAACUGGACUGAUUUCUUGUCAUUUUGGCCACUUUCGAGUCCUUUUUUGUUAAAACUAA
rnacentral:lncRNA from 1 species